AACAAAUGCAGUCUCUUCUUGAACUCUGCUAGUUGUGCCAGAUGCCUUUCAUGGAUUCUCCAAACCACAGUAGUUUAAGUUCUCAAAAUUCUGAUGAUACAUAAAGAUAGCAGAAAGUAAUAUUAUGUGGUAGAUUGCUUUUUGGAGCUAUUUCAUGGACUAUGGAAUACUUAAAGAUAUAAAAUGUAAUAAAAACAUGUGUUAGACAAAUGAGAACACAGGAAAUCUGAGGUAAUUUCCCUCUGGGAUCCUGAAAAUGUUAUGGGUUAUGUGGCUGCAACUUUCCCCAAGAGGCUGCAAUGACAUUUGUGGAAUCACUUCUAGGUGCUCUGUUCAUGCCGCACUGUCUUCGGUGUUUUCUUUCAUCUCUGGCACUCAGUGAAAUAACCUUAAAGUAUUCUUGGAAGACUAAUGGCCUGUGUAAUGUUUGAAAGGUUGGCUGUGGGAAAAGUUCCAGUUGAUGCCUGCUUGACUCACACUUGAGGACUUGACAGUUUGGUAACUAGGUCACUCUAGUGUCAGUCUUCUGAAACUGUGACAGUUUUUGUGGUUUCUAUGUUCAGUCUUGCACUCAGCUUAUAUCCUAUAUAUCCAUGCUAAACAUCCAUGCCUAUUACUUUUCUUUGUAUUCUUUUGAAGAUCUCGCAGUUGUUUACGGUGGCAUGGUAGGAGGGCUUCUGGGGAGAUCAAUUAGAAUUCUUACCGUUGAAUGAAGACUCUUAACACGCAGCCCUGCCCACUUCUAGUUCACAAAUAUUGAAAUAGAUUAUUUUUCAAAACAUAAGGAGUGUAAUCAGCUUCGUGAUUUUUAGCGGAGUUAACGAAAUAAGCAACUGUGAGGGUGGAUACUCUCCACUGCUUUGAGGCAACUGAAGAUUGUUUUUAACUUCAGUUACUGAUGCAGGAGGUGCAGGAUAACCUGGAAUAGAGGUCAUGAGGCGGCUGAAUUAUAGGAUAUAAGGAAGAAAUCUUUUACAGUGAGAGUAGUGAAGCACUAGAACAGAUUGCCCAAAGAGGUGGUGGAUGCCCCAUGCUUGGAAACAUUCAAGGCCAGGCUGAUGCUAAAAAGUGCUUACUCUGAGGCACCAGUUAGUCAGUAUGGAAUAGAGAUGGCUGUGAAAUGAACUUUCAGUAACUCUGUGGAGGGAUGGAGCCAGACAAUUUACAUUGCCAUAUGCAGGUGCAUGGGAUCUGGUGAGGAUUUGGUUGGGUAUAAGAAGCAACUUUCUCAGUCAGGCAGAAUGAACAGGGUGCUCAGUGAGGCUGUGCAGGCUUCACCCUGGGACAUGUCCUGGGUUUGACUGGAUCAGGCUAGGCUGAACCUGCAGGAUGUUGGACUAGAGUCUGCCCAAGGGACCUUAAAACCUGAAUUUGCUAUGAUUCUUGUCUCCUAUUUGUGUAGUAGUCUUCUGCUUUUUCUUCACUACAUCAAAUCAAGGAGAACAAUACAUUGAAGAAAAAAUAAAAAAGGACACUGUGAGAAUAGGGGAUUAACUAUCUCCC
ensembl:lncRNA